ACAAAAUGAAAGCUGAAUCCAGAUCUACCUGGAGCGGGGGACUUUUUUUAUGGGGUGAAACGCGUAGCCAUACGCGUCGGGCUUGCACCUUAAUGCCCGAAUCCGUCAACUAACCUCGCAAGCUAUGAAAGGUGAAAAA
rnacentral:sRNA from 2 species